rnacentral:rRNA from 1 species
GACAGAGGGUGCUAGCGUUGUUCGGAAUGACUGGGCGUAAAGGGCGCGUAGGCGGGAAUAUUAGUCAAGCGUGAAAGCCCCAGGCUUAACCUGGGAACAGCGCAUGAAACGGUAUACCUAGAGGACGAGAGAGGAAAGCGGAAUUCCUAGUGUAGAGGUGAAAUUCGUAGAUAUUAGGAGGAACACCAGAGGCGAAGGCGGCUUUCUGGCUCAUAACUGACGCUGAGGCGCGAAAGCGUGGGGAGCAAACAGG